ACCUAGAUAGCUUAUGUUUAGAGCAUAACACUGAAGAUGUUAGGGAAAUAUUUUUAUUUUUAGGUA
rnacentral:tRNA from 1 species